rnacentral:rRNA from 1 species
AUUGAACGCUGGCGGCAGGCCUAACACAUGCAAGUCGAACGGUAACAGGAAGAAGCUUGCUUCUUUGCUGACGAGUGGCGGACGGGUGAGUAAUGUCUGGGAAACUGCCUGAUGGAGGGGGAUAACUACUGGAAACGGUAGCUAAUACCGCAUAACGUCGCAAGACCAAAGAGGGGGACCUUCGGGCCUCUUGCCAUCGUCUGUGCCCAGAUGGGAUUAGCUAGUAGGUGGGGUAACGGCUCACCUAGGCGACGAUCCCUAGCUGGUCUGAGAGGAUGACCAGCCACACUGGAACUGAGACACGGUCCAGACUCCUACGGGAGGCAGCAGUGGGGAAUAUUGCACAAUGGGCGCAAGCCUGAUGCAGCCAUGCCGCGUGUAUGAAGAAGGCCUUCGGGUUGUAAAGUACUUUCAGCGGGGAGGAAGGGAGUAAAGUUAAUACCUUUGCUCAUUGACGUUACCCGCAGAAGAAGCACCGGCUAACUCCGUG